rnacentral:rRNA from 1 species
GACGAACCGUGCGAACGUUAUUCGGAAUCACUGGGCUUAAAGCGCGUGUAGGCGGAUGGGAACGUCGGUAGUUGAAAGCCCCCGGCUCAACCGGGGAAGUGGUGCCGAAACGACCCGUCUGGAGGGACGUAGGGGGACCUGGAACUUCCGGUGGAGCGGUGAAAUGCGUUGAGAUCGGAAGGAACGCCCGUGGCGAAAGCGAGGUCCUGGACGGCUACUGACGCUGAGACGCGAAAGCUAGGGGAGCAAACGGG